rnacentral:lncRNA from 1 species
UGCCUCUGUCUCUCAGGUGUGCACCACCACUGACUGGCACAGCCCCUGCUCUUAGUACUUGGAAAUAGUCAUGAAUUAACAACUAGCGAGAGAGAAUGCCUACCGUGAGCCAGAAGCUUCGGCUGAGUAGCACGUGAAGAGGGUGCUGUCUCUGUGUCCCUUCCCUAAAGGUCACCCUGUCUUCUCUGAGAAACCCUAGUGCAUAGGACAAGUGAAGGCCAAGAGGUGCCAGGGAUGUGACCUCCUCCUCCACUCAGCACUGUCCCUUCUGUCCCUGGGAAGCCAUGGACAGUAGUGACAGCAUUAAUCUGAAAAAUAGGGUUGAGCUAUGGCAGCGUGUGCCUGGAAUCAAAGCACUUUGGGGUGUUGAGGUAGAAGGAUUGCUGUGAGUUUGACGUCAACCUGGGAUUUAUAAGCCUGUUUAUAAAAAAAAGAAAAUGAGGGGGAAGGGUGGGGAAGAAUGAAGAAGAGACAGAGGAAAAAUGCAAAAGAAAAUAAGACUGGGCUCAUUUGUGACCUGAACUGGAGACCAGAGACCAGCCUGCCUUCCCGGACUUUGACAUGGAAAUCCAAAGGAUGGGAAAACAAGACAUGCAUAAGUCACAGAAUCCAAAAGCUGCAAGAGAACCAGGGAGCUGACUUGGGAGAUGAAGCUGACCCAGUGCCUCGUUCCCGGAACUGCGCAUACUAACAAGUUCUCAGGGUUUCCAGUAAACCAAGAAGGCUGGGGUUUGAGGUCAUCUGCAGAGCGUGGCCAUCCUGUGCUCAGCUAAGCAGGGGGACAGGCAAGGGAGCAGUGAGCCCAAGACCCCUCACACAUGACCCCUCUCACAGGAUGACUGCUUGUACACCAGCCUUCCAGGGAAGCCUGGUCCGCUGGGAGUGGAUCUCCAUCCAUUCCUCAAAAAUGAGCAUUAGCGGUAUCCUCCUGAAAACAAGUCAGAAGUGUGGAGCAGAAGUCUUGAGUGUCUGUUUGCAGUCAUUUCUCUUGUAGGAACUCAUCCCAAGUACAUAAUUACCAUGUGCACAAGGGCCCGUGGGGACCAGGAGCGGAAGAGAGGAGACACCCUCGAUGGUCCAACUGGAGGACUGCUCCAUCAGAUUAACUCCAGAUGAUGGAAGGCAAUGGUUUCCUUAAUGGCGUCCUUGGGGGUGGGGGGGGGGGGUUCCCAGUGUGUGCAGUUCAUUGAAAAUGCAGAUUUUAAAACAG